rnacentral:rRNA from 1 species
UGCCUACGGGAGGCAGCAGUCGGGAAUAUUGCGCAAUGGAGGAAACUCUGACGCAGUGACGCCGCGUAUAGGAAGAAGGUUUUCGGAUUGUAAACUAUUGUCGUGAGGGAAGAAAUUGACAGUACCUCAGGAGGAAGCUCCGGCUAACUAUGUGCCAGCAGCCGCGGUAAUACAUAGAGAGCAAGCAAUAUCCGGAUUUAUUGGGUGUAAAGGGUGCGUGGACGGGAAAUUAAGUUAGUUGUGAAAUCCCUCGGCUUAACUGAGGUACUGCACCUAAAACUGAUUUUCUUGAGUACUGGGGAGGG